CUGUCCGUGGGAACUUCUUUGGCCUUAGUUUACUGGUACAGAGACUGCGACCCGGUUUUGAGUGGUGUCAUCAGAAGCUAUGACCAGAUUGUUCCUCAUUACGUGACUGAAAGACUGGCCAGUGUAACGAUGCUACGAGGUUUGUUUCUGGCUGGCCUUCUAGGAGCUUCUACAAGUACAGUUUCAUCGGUCGUCAACUCCCACGCA
rnacentral:lncRNA from 1 species